CAAGGAGUAGUUUAUUUAAAAUUUUAAUUUUGGAGAUUGAUGAACAAAGGUUAACUUUGCUCCUUGA
rnacentral:tRNA from 1 species